ACUCCUACGGGAGGCAGCAGUGGGGAAUUUUGGACAAUGGGCGAAAGCCUGAUCCAGCAAUGCCGCGUGAGUGAAGAAGGCCUUCGGGUUGUAAAGCUCUUUGUCAGGGAAGAAACGGUGAGGGCUAAUAUCCCUUGCUAAUGACGGUACCUGAAGAAUAAGCACCGGCUAACUACGUGCCAGCAGCCGCGGUAAUACGUAGGGUGCAAGCGUUAAUCGGAAUUACUGGGCGUAAAGCGUGCGCAGGCGGUUUGUAAGUCUGAUGUGAAACUCCCCCGGGCUCAACCUGGGAAUUGCAUUGGAGACUGCAAGGCUAGAAUCUGGCAGAGGGGGUAGAAUUCCACGUGUAGCAGUGAAAUGCGUAGAUAUGUGGAGGAACACCGAUGGCGAAGGCAGCCCCCUGGGUCAAGAUUGACGCUCAUGCACGAAAGCGUGGGGAGCAAACAGGAUUACGAUACCCCUGGUAGACUGUCA
rnacentral:rRNA from 1 species